rfam:Schistosoma mansoni, Puerto Rico, WGS project CABG01000000 data, contig: 0115
GCACUGCUGAGGAGUCCCACAAUAGGACGGAACGACCAUCCAGUGC